UCCCCAAAUCAACACUAAGUUAUAAAGGAGGUGGGAUUGCCCAGACAACCAGGAGGUUUGCCUAGAAGCAGCCAUCCUCAAAGGAGUGCGUAAUAGCUCACUGGUCGAGCGAUCCUGCGCCGAAAAUGAAUGGGGCUAAGUGUUGUACCGAAGCUGCGGAUUUAUGGUAGGGGAGCGUUCUAUGUGGGGCGAAGCAUUAGCGUGAGCGGAUGUGGACUGCAUAGAAGUGAGAAUGUCGGCUUGAGUAGCGAAAACAUGGGUGAGAAUCCCAUGCACCGAAACCCUAAGGGUUCCUCCGGCAGGCUCGUCCGCGGAGGGUUAGUCUGGACCUAAGGCGAGGCCGAAAGGCGUAGUCGAUGGAUAACAGGUCAACAUUCCUGUACCGGUUAUGUUUUGGGAAGAGGGACGGAGAAGGCUAGCCAAGCCAGAUGUUGGUUACUGGUUCAAGCGUUCGAGGCGUUGAGGAUCGGCGAAAACGAUCCGAGCUGAGGCGUGAGUACGAGCUGCUACGGCAGCGAAGUUGGUGAUGUCAUGCUUCCAAGAAAAGCUCUAUACCCGUUAAGGCAUAACUGCCAGUACCCGAAACCGACACAGGUGGGGUGGUAGAGAAUACCGAGGGGCGCGAGGUAACUCUCUCUAAGGAACUCGGCAAAAUGGCCCCGUAACUUCGGGAGAAGGGGUGCCACAGCAAUGUGGUCGCAGUGAAGAGGCCCUGGCGACUGUUUACCAAAAACACAGGUCUCCGCUAAGUCGCAAGACGAUGUAUGGGGGCUGACGCCUGCCCAGUGCCGGAAGGUUAAGGAAGCCGGUCAGCGUAAGCGAAGCUGGCGACUGAAGCCCCGGUGAACGGCGGCCGUAACUAUAACGGUCCUAAGGUAGCGAAAUUCCUUGUCGGGUAAGUUCCGACCCGCACGAAAGGCGUAACGAUCAGGGCGCUGUCUCGGAGAGAGGCUCGGCGAAAUAGAAUUGUCUGUGAAGAUGCGGACUACAUACACCCGGACAGAAAGACCCUAUGAAGCUUUACUGUAGCUUGGUAUUGUGCCCGGGCUCUGAAUGCGCAGGAUAGGUGGGAGACGUUGAUCUAGUGCUCGUGGGUACUAGGGAGUCAAUGGUGAGAUACCACUCUUUCAGAGCUAGGGUUCUAACGUUCACCCGUUAUCCGGGGAGCGGACAGUAUCAGGUGGGCAGUUUGACUGGGGCGGUCGCCUCCUAAAAGGUAACGGAGGCGCGCAAAGGUUUCCUCAGGCUGGUUGGAAAUCAGCCGACGAGUGCAAAAGCAGAAGGAAGCUUGACUGUGAGACCUACAAGUCGAACAGGGACGAAAGUCGGCUUUAGUGAUCCGACGGUUCUGAGUGGAAGGGCCGUCGCUCAACGGAUAAAAGUUACUCUAGGGAUAACAGGCUGAUCUCCCCCAAGAGUUCACAUCGACGGGGAGGUUUGGCACCUCGAUG
rnacentral:rRNA from 1 species